AGAGUUUGAUCAUGGCUCAGAUUGAACGCUGGCGGCAGGCCUAACACAUGCAAGUCGAGCGGAUGACGGGGAGCUUGCUCCUGCUUGAUUCAGCGGCGGACGGGUGAGUAAUGCCUAGGAAUCUGCCUGGUAGUGGGGGACAACCGUUUCGAAAGGAACGCUAAUACCGCAUACGUCCUACGGGAGAAAGCAGGGGACCUUCGGGCCUUGCGCUAUUCAGAUGAGCCUAGGGAUUAGCUAGUUGGUGGGGUAAUGGCUCACCAAGGCGACGAUCCGUAACUGGUUCUGAGAGGAUGAUCAGUCACACUGGAACUGAGACACGGUCCAGACUCCUACGGGAGGCAGCAGUGGGGAAUAUUGGACAAUGGGCGAAAGCCUGAUCCAGCCAUGCCGCGUGUGUGAAGAAGGUCUUCGGAUUGUAAAGCACUUUAAGUUGGGAGGAAGGGCAGUAAGUUAAUACCUUGCUGUUUUGACGUUACCGACAGAAUAAGCACGGCUAGCUCUGUGCCAGCAGCCGCGGUAAUACAGAGGGUGCAAGCGUUAAUCGGAAUUACUGGGCGUAAAGCGCGCGUAGGUGGUUUGUUAAGUUGGAUGUGAAAGCCCCGGGCUCAACCUGGGAACUGCAUCCAAAACUGGCAAGCUAGAGUACGGUAGAGGGUGGUGGAAUUUCCUGUGUAGCGGUGAAAUGCGUAGAUAUAGGAAGGAACACCAGUGGCGAAGGCGACCACCUGGACUGAUACUGACACUGAGGUGCGAAAGCGUGGGGAGCAACAGGAUUAGAUACCCUGGUAGUCCACGCCGUAAACGAUGUCAACUAGCCGUUGGAAUCCUUGAGAUUUUAGUGGCGCAGCUAACGCAUUAAGUUGACCGCCUGGGGAGUACGGCCGCAAGGUUAAAACUCAAAUGAAUUGACGGGGGCCCGCACAAGCGGUGGAGCAUGUGGUUUAAUUCGAAGCAACGCGAAGAACCUUACCAGGCCUUGACAUGCAGAGAACUUUCCAGAGAUGGAUUGGUGCCUUCGGGAACUCUGACACAGGUGCUGCAUGGCUGUCAUCUCAGCUCGUGUCGUGAGAUGUUGGGUUAAGUCCCGUAACGAGCGCAACCCUUGUCCUUAGUUACCAGCAACGUUAUGGUGGGCACUCAAAGGAGACUGCCGGUGACAAACCGGAGGAAGGUGGGGAUGACGUCAAGUCAUUCAUGGCCCUUACGGCCUGGGCUACACACGUGCUACAAUGGUCGGUACAGAGGGUUGCCAAGCCGCGAGGUCGGAGCUAAUCUCACAAAACCGAUCUGUAGUCCGGAUCGCAGUCUGCAACUCGACUGCGUGAAGUCGGAAUCGGCUAGUAAUCGCGAAUCAGAAUGUCGCGGUGAAUACGUUCCCGGGCCUUGUACACACCGCCCGUCACACCAAUGGGAGUGGGUUGCACCAGAAGUAGCUAGUCUAACCUUCGGGAGGACGGUUACCACGGUGUGAUUCAUGACUGGGGUGAAGUCGUAACAAGGUAGCC
rnacentral:rRNA from 4 species